GAUGAUAACAUCCAAAGUCCCGCCAGCCUCGCUGAGAGCCUGGGAAGAUCAAAACACACUGAGUCACAGUCUACCCCGUUCGAGCUGUAGUUAGCGCAUGUUUGCGACGAUCAGGCGCCACGCUAAGCGGCUUACGUGCGCUAUCUCGUCUGACCAUCAUAAGGGCAUUAGAGGGUGCUUUACCGUGGACGGACCUCUAUUUAGGAAAACUUGGCAUCUAAAAGCCCAUAGUGACAAAAUCGAUAUAUUAAGGCAACCAGUCAAUCACGGUUUGCCGAGGACUGAUAGGAUUUUAACACCGAAAGGCCCAAGUCCCCGGAAACCCUUCAGUGCUAAGCACACCAGCUCCACGAGGGGGCAUCCCAGGAGUCCACAUUUUAUGCUGAGUGGCUGUGUCCACUAAAGCUCCAAAUGAUUGGACCCGAAUGGACACCUGACCCAAAAGCAGCCAAACCAUUGGCUGGACAGCAACCAAUGACUUAUGUGACUUAUUUAUUUAUUUUUAAUUUAUUUUUGAGAGAGAGACACCCCCUCCCCUGGCACAAGUGGGGGAGGAGCUGGGGGGGGGGGGCAGAGGAUCUGAAACAGGUUCUGUGGGACAGCCCCAGAGCCCAAUGUGGGGCUUGAACUCACUAACCCACUAGCUAUGAGACAAUGACCUCAGCCAAAGGCAGACCCUUAACCAACUGAGCCACCCAGGUGUUCUUAUGUGAUUUAUUUUUUAAAAAAAGAAUAAAGCGAAACAGUGGGGCCAGUCA